CUGGAGUCACUUGUGGCACGACGAGAAGCCUGUGGGCAGGGGCUGUCCAGCCUGGCAGCCUCAGGCUCCUCACACCUGCUGCGGACACAGAAGUCCAUCCCUAGGAGCACAGAAAGGGCCCCUCCGUUCUCCCCAUGGAAGUGGCACGUUCAGGACGGGGGUCACUGGUCCAGGCGGGCUGAUGUCUACCUUCCUGCCUGACACUCGGAAAGGCCACGCACACAACCUCCUGCUCACUAAUGAGGAGUGCCUUUCGACCCAACAAAAGAAGCUCUGAGGAAAAUACGGCCUGCUGUUUUUUUCCCUUAAAGAACUGUGAAGAUCAAAAUGUUUUGUUUGAACUUCUGAGGGCACCCAUAAAUCGUAUCAAUACAUAAGUAGAUGUCAAAGACCAAGUGAGUUCUUGGUGGGGUGUGUGUGUGAAGUCACCUGUCUUGUCUUACCUCCCAUAAUUCUAGGAAAGCCUAUGGCUUAGCCAUCUGGGCCAGUGAGUUGUAUGUCCACAUCCUUAGCAUGAAGACACAGCCUCAUUUCCCAUGACAGGAAUCUCUUAGCCUUGCCCAACUGAACACUCUCCCACAGCAUUGAAAGGACUCUUGAUAAUGGGAGGACAACAGCGUGGAUGACGAGACCAAGGACACUGCAGUCUUAGUGGGGCUGCCACACCGGCUGGGGCCUGGGGCACUUCUUAGCUUCCAUGAGCACCAGGCCUUCACCCAAACACUCGAUGCCUCUGGCUCUGAAGGGUAAACUGUGGAGGUAUAAUUAAUGAGCCUCCCAGACAGGAAGGUGAAAGGUUUAAAAGGAAAGAGAGAGAACUCAAGUCAACAGGAGAGCCAAGCUGCUGAUCAACCAGUUUAUUGAACUAGCUUUUCUAUUUCUGGGUUUUAUGGUCCAUGUAGUUAGUCACACAGCUAGGUUCUCCUCAGGAUCUAAUCUGCUUUGCUCUGUCUGGGUUUUGGUAUGAAUCAUCAGCAUACAACUAAGCCUUCACCACACUGGCAUCAGGAGGGUAUACCUUCUAACUGCUAUACAGGAUGCAUUUUUUAUGUUUCUAGAGAGAGCACUACCGAGAAGCGUCAUUAGCCAUCAGGGAAUGUAAAUCAAAACCACAAUGAGACAGCACUUCACACCCACUAGGAUGGCUAGAACUAAAAAAAAAAGAUAAUAAACACAUGUUGUCGAGAAUGUGGAAAAACUGGAACGCUCAUAAUUUUUGGUGAGAAUGUAAAAUGGUGCAACCGAUUGGACAAAUAGUUGGGCAAUUCCUCCAAAUGUUAAAUGUAGAGUUACCAUAUGAUCUGGCAAUUCCACUCCUAGGUAUAUACUCAAGAAACACGAACACAUAUAUACACAUAAAAACUUGCAUGAGAAUGUUUGUAGCAGCAUUAUUCAUAAUAGCUGAAAACUGGAAACAAUAAAUGUCUAUUGACUGAUGACUUGAAUAAACAAAAAUGUGGUCUAUCAAUACAGUGGAAUAUCAUUCUGCAACGAAAAGGAAUGAAAGACGGAUACAUGGUAUAACGUGAAUGAACCUUGAAAACAUUACGCUAAGUAAAGGAAGCCAGUCACAAAAAAGACCACACACUGUAUAAUUCCAUUUAUAUGAAAUGUCCAGAAUAGGCAAACCAUAGAAACAGGAAGUAAAUUAGUGGCUGCCAGAAGCUGGGGAAAGGGAAGAAUGGGGAUUGACUAGUAAUGGGCGUGGAGAUUUUUGGGGAGUGAUGAGAAGGUUCUGAAAUUAAAUAUUAGUGAUGGCUGAACAAUUCUGUGACUACUAAAGUCCAAUGACUUUGGGUGAAUGUAAGAGGUGUAUAUAUAUACAUAUAUAUAUGUAUGUAUAUAUACAUAUAUGCUUCAC